rnacentral:rRNA from 1 species
UACGUAGGGUGCAAGCGUUGUCCGGAAUUAUUGGGCGUAAAGAGCUCGUAGGCGGUGUGUCGCGUCGGCCGUGAAAACCUGCAGCUUAACUGUGGGCUUGCGGUCGAUACGGGCAUCACUGGAGUUCGGCAGGGGAGACUGGAAUUCCUGGUGUAGCGGUGAAAUGCGCAGAUAUCAGGAAGAACACCAAUGGCGAAGGCAGCUCUCUGGGGACGGUACUGACGCUGAGACGCGAAAGCGUGGGGGAGCGAACAGG